UCAUUUCUCUCAUUCCCUUCUCUCUCUCCAAACACUCUCCAAACCCGCUCCUCCCAUUGCCGCCCUCACCAUAAACCCUAGCAUCCCCAAAUUGAAGCCAAACUCUAUCGCCUCCCCUCGCUGCCUAUCCAAACCCGCUCCUCCCAUCGCCAUCUCUUCAAACCCUAGCCUACCCUAACCUCCCAAAUCCCAUUCACUAAUACUCGAUUCUCAAUACCCGGUUCUUUAUUAUUUCACCGCCUCUCCUAGCCACACCCUGCCUCCCAUAGAUAACUAUUCUCCAUCUUCAAGGUAACUGUACUUCAUUGGAUAUUCUUCAACAAGUGUCUUCUCCAUCUCCAAGACAAAAAUCUCAAAGAAAACGAGAUCUAUGUGAAUCUAAAUAUACAGAAUCUGACGAGGAUGUACGUGAAUAUGAAAUUGGUGAUAGAAGAAUGAAAAAGGACAAACAGGCUCCAAAGACAAAAGCUUCAUCUUCUAAACUUGUCAAAAUGGUAAUAUCUCCCAAACAAAAACAAACCUCUUCAAGACGAACAGCCCCAAAACAACCACCCCCAACUGCAGCUAAAAAACCGUCUCCUAAAAAGAAGGGCUUAUCCCACAAACAAGCCUUACCCCCUACACAACUCAUAACCCCCCCUCCCCAAGAACCCUUACCCCCAAACGACAAGUAACCCCAAAAAAAUCACAACUCACUUCAACUCAAAAACACCAAAACCAAAAAUCUAACCAAAAUAAGAAGUCUACUCCAAAGAAACUGCCUUCAACUUCAGUUCAACAAAAUCUUCAACUAAUCCCUUCUAAAGGAUUAGAAACUCAACCUGACACAACAGAUGGUAUGGUCAAUCGUGCCCUCAAAUAUUGAAAUGGAGGAUGAAGAUGAAGAAAAUUCAAGGGAGAAUGUAGACCUAGAUGAUCUUUCCAAAUCAUCAAACACCUACAUAGAAAUUGUUGGAGAGAACUUCUAUCCAGAUAUUUUGAAAGACAUACAUAUGAUUAUUACGGGUUAUUGGAGGGGGGCAAACUUGAACUGGAAUCAAGUUCUCGAAGACAUUAAGAACAUUUGGUGUGAAUAAUUCACGG